GCAUGUAAAGGUUGUAAACAAUCAUUCAGAGUGAUGGUCAAAUAAAAGAAAAUCGAUCAUUUUAAAGAAAAGGAUUAUAUUUCAAAACAUUUUAAUCUAGCGGUGCUUGCCGAAUUCGUCCAUGUAUAUAUAUACAUACCGGAGAGGCGAAUGAUGAUGGCGAACGGUGGUGAGCGCGACGACAGUGGCCCACUGCUCGAAUUCACCUCUCCUCUUUCUGCUGCCGCCAUGUAUCCAGGAUCAGCGAAGAAGCACCAAAGGGAUUGCUCUUCUCUCCCUUGUUUCCUUUCUCUCCUUGAACCCUAUUUACGGGGAGAGGAGGAAUACCGAGAUCGGCAAGUAGCUGAACCCUUUCUCCGGUUUCUUUCGCCUUUUUGUUUCCCUUCCUGAUGGUUAUUAGGCCGGAUCGUUCUAUGAUGGUGUGAAGUGAUUCCGGAUCUCUCUCGCUACGUUCCGUUGACGUGAUCCUUCUUGUAGGACUCUAAGAGGCAAGAGUCGGUGGAGAAGCGUGAGAUUGUGAAGCAGUCGGGAAAGAAUCCGCUUAAUCCUAAACCAAACAAUGGGCGUUUACCAUCUUCCGCAGGUAAUUUUUCCUACCCCUCUCUUCUAUGUUAUUUGCCCUAAAUCUCUAGGAUUAUGCUGCUCAAUCCUGUUUGUUCUGGUUUGUGGAUGAGAACGAAUCGAACUGGAUGAUGUGGGAGGAGAAUUUUCCAAAUCAUAACACAACUUCUUGUGCUGAACCUUAAAAUUUCAGCCAAUGUAGGUUUCCGAUUGUCGAUUUAAUUGGAUUCAUGGGAGUGUUGACUUAAAUCUCUCAAUGCUUUCCCCCACAAGAAUGACACGAAUUCGUGUUCUUACCUUGUGUGUAUUUGAUUUAGACCCAAUGUGGUCUUGCUGUGUACUUACUUUGAUAACUUUACUUGUAUCUUUAAUUUCCCAUAAAGAAUUGAGUUUCAUAGAUGGAAUUCUUAAAAAUUGCCACUUGGUUGUGUUAGUUGUAAUCACUCAAAUCAUUUCAUGUGAAUUGGUGCAGCAUAAGUCUUGGUAAUUGAUCUAUUUAUAUCCAUUAGAAAAGCAUUUUUUCUGUUGACCUGGAAACUCCCAUGUACUUUCGGACAUUCUCAAAGACUUUCUGGUAUCAAUGGAAUGAUCUUUGAAUGUUAAUGGGGCAAGUAUUAGGUGCAUAAAACUCUUUCAAAUGCUUCUUUGUUUACUUGCUUUGGGGGUUGUAUUAAGGAUCCACUUUAGUUCUUGCUUUUAUACAUUGAUAGUUAACCAACUUAUUGGGCAUAGACAAGAAUCUCAUGGUAUGUGUUGUUUGUAAAAAAUUAUCUUGGUUGACAAGAGUUUAGUUAAAUUUAUUUUAAACUUGAGUCGUAGAGGCAAAACCUUAAACAUUAAGGGCCAAUUAAGGGUCCUAACAAAAAGUAUAGUAGACGGAGUGACAAAAAAGCUUUUGAAAUAAAAGUUUUAGGUACUAUUAUUCAACAAGGGAAAGAGAUUGAUGAAAAAUAUUAUUUAGAGAGUAAAGUAUGAAGGGACUCAACAUUUUGUAUGAUCAUCUGACUUUUAUAUAAUUAAAAGAUAAAUAAAAAAUAUUUGUUAGGCUUAUAACAUCCUUGUUAAAUAAAAUUCAGACUUAACAAGUUAAAUAGAUCAAUUAUCCUAUCAAGUCAGAUCGUGACAAAUGGCAUCGGAGGCAGCAUAAUAUUGGACAUGGUUAAAGUAGGAUAGAGCUGUAUGUCACCGCUAGGUUAAAUCUCACAAGUACUCUGCUAAAAUUUAAUUUGAGUUUUGCGAUUUACAUCACAUUUUGGUCGGUUAUCAAAUCUUAAUAGAUAAAAUAAAGAAGAAUCAUCUAAGAUUAUAUAAAUAUGUUUGUGUAGCUCAACCCAAAUAGUUGGCAUCGUGCAACUUAUUGUUAAUGUUAUUGGCCAUAUACUACUAGAAGGCACACAGUUGUCACAAACAUGUUAUAUUAUGAUGAUUUGAACCGACACUUCACAUUUGUUCUGUAAAUGCACAACUUCACAUGCAAGAUUAGUUUAGUAAUGCGCAAACAUGUACAUCAACCUUCCUUGGUCCCGACUAUGCCUUGGGCUGUUAUUUUUCUUAUAGCUUUCAUGUCGAGUUGGUUGUCCAAGAACAGAGCCACAAAACAGGAGUACAUUAAGUUAUGUACUUAGCAAUUAUUCUACCCAUGAAUCUGCAUAGUUGCUUUUAUCCUUGAGUAACACAUCUAUAGCUACGUUAAAGUUUUGAUGUAUCUAUUGGUGUUUCAUAAUUGCGUCAUAUGUAAACUAUGAUGUCAAAUGUUGUGAUCACAGUGCUAGUUGUACUAUAUAUGGAUUUGAAUUU
rnacentral:lncRNA from 1 species